UCUCGUCGAAUUUUUGAGUGACCGCAGCACGUACGUCGUGUCAUCAAGUUGGGUGUUGGAAAGAAAUGAUGGAUUAUAUUCCUCCUGGCCAUCAAGAGCCUCAAAAUUGGAGAUCCUCAAGCUUUUAAAAUGCCACCAUCCACCAGAGCCUUCAUGGGGAAAACACAAAAUUCGUAUUCUCUGCACCACAGAUGAUAUUGACGAAGCCAUGGAAAAGUUAGCUCUGGCUGAGGACACGUCAAACCUUGAGAGCGACGCCGAGGUACAUAAGAAAACACGAAAGGAGAGAAAACGUGUAAUUUUCUCUAGCACUGAAAGUGACUCAGAUGGAGAUGAGGCGAAACAGAUUGUGAGAAAAUCAGAAAAGCGUGCUGCUCGAGCUCGGACAAUGGUGGCAAAUCAACUUCCUCCUCCACCUCCAGUGCCUACCAUAAGUGGUACCUACUCACAUCCUCCAGUAGUGCAGGGUACAAGUGCACGUCCUCCUGCCGUGCAUUCAGGACGAUCCCUGCCCAGACAUUCCACAGUAGUCUCACACUGCUCGUCCAGCACAUCGUUUUCGUGAGCAGACCCAUGUGCUAACCGACGGAGCAGGCACACGACUGGAUAUGAGAUCUCCAUCUCCUGACAGAGUUACAUCUGUGUAUGCUCCACGGAGCACAGCUCAAGAAUAUGGUGGGGACGUUUGAUGUGAUCCACCUGCCAGACUAUCGCAGCCAUCAUCAUGGGAACCUUCAGUGCCUCGUUAUGGGACACCACAACAUGCACUAGAAGACCAGGAAAGUCAUCAUCUGUUGAAGACACUACUGGAGAAAAUCUCCACUCUUGAGUCUAGAUUUAAAGUAUUCGAAAGCAGGAUUUUUCUGCAUAACAAAGAAACUUUGCUGGAAAUACGUGAAAUGAACAAGCGAUGCGUCCAUGGGAAAGUACCCUUAAAUCUCCCUGAGGACUGCCCCAUGAUACCUGCCACUGCCUUCGAAAUGUUGGAGGAUUUAGACACCUACCUCCAGUAGGAGAGGAACCUAACUUCUAUGGUAAUUUAUUAAAUUCGUUCUUUUGGAGAUAAUGCAUGUGUUAAAAUAGCCAUCUCUAAAUUGUAAUAUGCAAAUGAUCCAAAACCUAAAAUA